rnacentral:rRNA from 1 species
AUUGAACGCUGGCGGCAGGCUUAACACAUGCAAGUCGAGCGAGCGGCGGACGGGUGAGUAAUGUCUGGGAAACUGCCUGAUGGAGGGGGAUAAAUACUGGACACGGUAGCUAAUACCGCAUACAAUCAGGUGUGCCCAGAUGGGUUUAUCUAGUAGGUGGGGUAAUGGCUCACAUAGGCGACGAUCCCUAGCUGGGCUGAGAGGAUGACCAGCCACACUGGAACUGAGACACGGUCCAGACUCCUACGGGAGGCAGCAGUGGGGAAUAUUGCACAAUGGGCGCAAGCCUGAUGCAGCCAUGCCGCGUGUGUGAAGAAGGCCUUAGGGUUGUAAAGCACUUUCAGCGAGGAGGCGUUACUGGCAGAAGAAGCACCGGCUAACUCCGUGCCAGCAGCCGCGGUAAUUC